GGACCUGACUGCUAUCGGAUUGCUACUAAGCCAUGCGAGUCUUUGUAGUAAUACAAGGCAUACGGCUCAGUAACGCGUAGUCAACCUACCCUAUGGACAAGAAUAAUCUCGGGAAACUGAGCAUAAUUCUUGAUAGAUCAUAAUGCCUGGAAUGGUUUAUGGUUAAAAUGAUUCGUCGCCAUAGGAUGGGACUGCGGCCUAUCAGCUUGUUGGUGAGGUAAUGGCCCACCAAGGCGAUUACAGGUACGGGCUCUGAGAGGAGAAGCCCGGAGAUGGGUACUGAGACAAGGACCCAGGCCCUAUGGGGCGCAGCAGGCGAGAAAACUUUGCAAUGUGCGAAAGCACGACAAGGUUAGUCCGAGUGAUUUCUGCUAAAGAGAUCUUUUGCUAGUUAUAAAACCACUAGUGAAUAAGGGGUGGGCAAGUUCUGGUGU
rnacentral:rRNA from 1 species